rnacentral:rRNA from 1 species
UACGAAGGGUGCAAGCGUUGCUCGGAAUUAUUGGGCGUAAAGCGCACGUAGGCGGCUUAGCAAGUCGGAUGUGAAAUCCCUCGGCUCAACCAAGGAAGUGCAUCCGAAACUGCUGAGCUUGAGUACGAAAGAGGAUCGCGGAAUUCCCGGUGUAGAGGUGAAAUUCGUAGAUAUCGGGAGGAACACCAGUGGCGAAGGCGGCGAUCUGGGUCGAUACUGACGCUGAGGUGCGAAAGCGUGGGGAGCAAACAGG